UGUAUCCAACAACCUUUGAGUAUUGUGAUCAAUAUUGUACGUACUAACAUUUGUAGUACGUAAGAGUGGGAAGAGUUAAAAAAUAACUUGAGUGUUUAAGUUGUAAUGUCAAGUUAUUAGUAUGUUAAGGAUGUAAGCUAUUUUACUUUAUCUCUCAUAUUGUUAAUCUUUCCAUAUUAUUACCGCAAAAUAUCCUUACAUUAUCUCUUCUUCUUCUCAGGCGCUUGCAUUGCUUGCUUCAUUAGAUUUAACAAGAAGGCCAUAACAUGUCAUUUGUUUCUUUUACUUUCUUUUGAUUUUCUAUACAUAAAUCUCAUUAUUUUUCAACAAGUCAUAUUUUCUACGUUGAAUUUAAUUUUCUGCAACAACUAUUUAUAUUUUAAGUUGCGCUUUUAUUUUUAAUUUUUAUGCUCAAAUAUUUAUGAUCUCCAGUUUGCGUCUUUAUUUCAUCAUUUGUUUCAUUUUAAUAGGUAUGGCUGGUAACACAUCCUUUGUUCCUCUCCUUCUGACACUGAUGCUCCUUUCAUUAUCUGCAGGUACAAUCAGAUGCAGACUUACUACUACUAUAGACGCUACUCGUGCUCCUCCAGGUUGCCACCUACAAACGUUGGGAUGCACCGACAUAGCCUGUCAACGUGAUGUUUGCCACGGGUCACCACAUUUUAAAUGUCUAUACGAGACCUUUUGUUGUUGUGGUUAAGAAUAAUAAAUGUUUCUUUCAUUUGAAUAAUAAAGCAAUUAAAUUCAGGUGG